AUUGAACGCUGGCGGCAGGCCUAACACAUGCAAGUCGAGCGCGCGGAGGACGGGUGAGAAAUGUAUGGGGACUGACCGCGAGAGGGGGAUAACUACUGGAAAAGGUAGCGAAAAACCCAUACCAUCGGAUAACACACAUGGGAUUAGCUCGUGGGUGUGGGAAUGGCUCACCUAGGCGCCGAUCCCUAGCUGGUCUGAGAGGAUGAUCAGCCACACGGGGACUGAGACACGGCCCAGACUCCUACGGAGGCAGCAGUGGGGAAUAUUGCACAAUGGGCGCAAGCCUGAUGCAGCCAUGCCGCGUGUAUGAAGAAGGCCCUAGGGUUGUAAAGUACUUUCAGUCGGGAGGCGUUACCGACAGAAGAAGCACCGGCUAACUCCGUGCCAGCAGCCGCGGUAAUAC
rnacentral:rRNA from 1 species